rnacentral:tRNA from 1 species
CCGAGGUGUAGAUCAGGGUCGCCGGGUCGGCCGAUCGCAGCUCGGCCAGCCGGCGGUUCAGCUCUGCGGGGUCGGC